AGGAUCAUUAAUGAAUGCUUUUGGGAAAGGGUUGCUGCUGGCUGUAACAGGCAUGUGCACGCUCUUUUCUGAAUCCCUCUUCAUCCACCUGUGCACUUUUGUAUGGAAGUCUUUUUUAAGUUUUAUGCGGACUUUGUAGAGCUAAGGCUUUGCAAGUUAAAGGUCAAGCCUCUGAAAUUGGGAAAAGCUUCUAUAUCUUUUAUAUACCCAAUGUAUGUCUAGAAUGUAACUUUUACUGGGACUUAAGUGACCCUUUAAAAUUUGUACAACUUUCAGCAACGGAUCUCUUGGCUCUCCCAUCGAUGAAGAACGCAGCGAAUUGCGAUAUCUAAUGUGAAUUGCAGAAUUCAGUGAAUCAUCGAGUCUUUGAACGCACCUUGCGCCCUCUGGUAUUCCGGAGGGCAUGCCUGUUUGAGUGUCAUUAAAUUCUCAACCUUACAAGGCUUGUCCUUGUAAGGCUUGGAUGUGGAGGUUUGCUGGUGUCUUUUAAAGACGUUUCCGGCUCCUCUGAAAUUCAUUAGUUGGUUUUGUCCUUUUUCUUAACCAAACCUUGGUGUGAUAAUUAUCUACGCUUUGGUGUUCAUUGGUUCAAGAGUUAGGGUAGUGCAUUAGUUUGUCUCUACCUGUUGUCUAUCAAGAGUUUUGCAUUAGAUUGCUUUACUUGGAUAGGGAAGUCUAUCGAGUGGCGGUUGCAUUGAGUUGCUCUGCCCGGAUAGCAAGGACAUUGAAUGCUAGCUUUCUAACUGUCUUCGGACACUUUUGACUAUUUGACCUCAAAUCAGGUAGGAUUACCCGC
rnacentral:rRNA from 1 species